AUUGAACGCUGGCGGCAGGCCUAACACAUGCAAGUCGAGCGGAUGAAGGGAGCUUGCUCCUGGAUUCAGCGGCGGACGGGUGAGUAAUGCCUAGGAAUCUGCCUGGUAGUGGGGGAUAACGUCCGGAAACGGGCGCUAAUACCGCAUACGUCCUGAGGGAGAAAGUGGGGGAUCUUCGGACCUCACGCUAUCAGAUGAGCCUAGGUCGGAUUAGCUAGUUGGUGGGGUAAAGGCCUACCAAGGCGACGAUCCGUAACUGGUCUGGGAGGAUGAUCAGUCACACUGGAACUGAGACACGGUCCAGACUCCUACGGGAGGCAGCAGUGGGGAAUAUUGGACAAUGGGCGAAAGCCUGAUCCGGCCAUGCCGCGUGUGUGAAGAAGGUCUUCGGAUUGUAAAGCACUUUAAGUUGGGAGGAAGGGCAGUAAGUUAAUACCUUGCUGUUUUGACGUUACCAACAGAAUAAGCACCGGCUAACUUCGUG
rnacentral:rRNA from 1 species